GGAGGGCAAGUCUGGUGCCAGCAGCCGCGGUAAUUCCAGCUCCAAUAGCGUAUAUUAAAGUUGCUGCAGUUAAAAAGCUCGUAGUUGAAUUUCGGGACCAUCAUGUCGGUCGUGCCUCGGUACGUACUGGUAUUGUUGGUUUCUCCCUUCUGACGAACCAUGAUGUCAUUUGUUUGGUGUUGUGGGGAAUCAGGACUGUUACUUUGAAAAAAUUAGAGUGUUUAAGGCAGGCUCACGCUUGAAUACAUUAGCAUGGAAUAAUGAAAUAGGACGUUUGAUUCUAUUUUGUUGGUUUCUAGGAUCGACGUAAUGAUUAAUAGGGAUAGUUGGGGGCAUUAGUAUUCAAUUGUCAGAGGUGAAAUUCUUGGAUUUAUUGAAGACUAACUACUGCGAAAGCAUUUGCCAAGGAUGUUUUCAUUAAUCAAGAACGAAAGUUAGGGGAUCGAAGACGAUCAGAUACCGUCGUAGUCUUAACCAUAAACUAUGCCGACUAGGGAUCGGAUGAUGUUAAUUUUUUAAUGACUCAUUCGGCGCCUUACGGGAAAC
rnacentral:rRNA from 1 species